rnacentral:rRNA from 1 species
GACAGAGGGGGCAAGCGUUGUUCGGAAUCACUGGGCUUAAAGGGCGCGUAGGCGGGUUCGCAAGUCUGUGGUGAAAGCCUCCAGCUUAACUGGAGAAGUGCCGUGGAUACUGCGAAUCUUGAGGAGGGUAGGGGCGUCUGGAACGGUCGGUGGAGCGGUGAAAUGCGUUGAUAUCGACCGGAACUCCGGUGGCGAAGGCGAGGCGCUGGACCCUUUCUGACGCUGAGGCGCGAAAGCCAGGGGAGCAAACGGG